rnacentral:tRNA from 1 species
GCCUUCGUAGUGUAACGGUUAGCACACUCGGCGUGUGUUCGAGAGGUCCAGGUUCGAGUCCCAGCGAGCGCA